UACGUAGGGUGCAAGCGUUGUCCGGAAUUAUUGGGCGUAAAGAGCGUGUAGGCGGCCCGACCAGUCCGCUGUGAAAGUCCAGGGCUCAACCCUGGAAUGCCGGUGGAUACUGUCGGGCUAGAGUCCGGAAGGGCGAGUGGAAUUCCUGGUGUAGCGGUGAAAUGCGCAGAUAUCAGGAGGAACACCAAUGGCGAAGGCAGCUCGCUGGGACGUGACUGACGCUGAGACGCGAAAGCGUGGGGAGCAAACAGG
rnacentral:rRNA from 1 species